CAAUAGCGUAUAUUAAAGUUGUUGCAGUUAAAAGCUCGUAGUUGGAUUUCUGGCCGAGUGUCCCUAGGCCAGCAUGACGUUUGGUCCUAGGCGCUCUGCCAUCCUUCUGUCAACCUUCGCCUUCUUCAUUGGGGGCGCUGGGGCUCAGAUAUUUUACCUUGAGAAAAUUAGAGUGUUUCAGGCAGGCUUUCGCCGGAAUACAUUAGCAUGGAAUAAUGGAAAAGGACUUCAACCUCUUCUGUUGGUCUGAGAGGCUGUAGUAAUGAUUAAUAGGGAUAGUUGGGGGCAUUAGUACUUAACUGUCAGAGGUGAAAUUCUUGGAUCGCCGUAAGACGAACUACUGCGAAAGCAUUUGCCAAGAAUGUUUUCAUUAAUCAAGAACGAAAGUCAGAGGUUCGAAGACGAUCAGAUAUCGU
rnacentral:rRNA from 1 species